rnacentral:misc_RNA from 1 species
GAUCAUUCAUAAUAAGUGUUUUAUGGCACUUUUUAAAAAAUCCAUAUCCACCUUGUGUGCAAUGUUAAGGUCUCAUCAGUCAAGUAAUAUUUUCUGAUGGGAUUUUUUAUACAUCAACUCAUUCUUGAACUAAUUUGUCUGAAAAAUAUUAUGAAUACUUAAUUCAAAAUACAACUUUCAACAACGGAUCUCUUGGCUCUCGCAUCGAUGAAGAACGCAGCGAAAUGCGAUACGUAAUGUGAAUUGCAGAAUUCAGUGAAUCAUCGAAUCUUUGAACGCAUAUUGCGCUCUCUGGUAUUCCGGAGAGCAUGCUUGUUUGAGUAUCAGUAAACACCCUCAAAGCCUUUCUUUUUUUUUUUUAAAAAAAAAAGAUGGGUUUUGGAUUUGAGUGAUUCCAACGCAAAUCCCUUCAAGGAUUAGUGGCGGACCACUUGAAAUUCAGGUGCAGCUGGACAUUCUUCUGAGCUAAAAGCAUAUUUAUUUAGUCCUGUCAAUACUUUUGUGUUGCGGAUUAUUACUUCUGCUGCAGCUAACAUAAAGGUUGAAAGUCCAAAUGCUGACUGAUGCAGAAAUUUUUCAGUAAGGCGCAAGCU